GAGCCUCGAGGUUUAGAAUCAUGGAGGUAGAGCUCUGUUUGGACUAGGGGCCCGUCAUGGGUUACUGACUUCAGAUAAACUCCGAAUGCCAUUGAUUUUUACUCGGGAGUCACACGGUGAGUGAUAAGAUCCAUCGUGGAAAGGGGAACAGCCCAGAUCAUCAGCUAAGGUCCCUAAAUAUAUGCUAAGUGGAAAAGGAUGUGGAAUUGCACAGACAACUAGGAUGUUGGCUCAGAAGCAGCCAUCAUUUAAAGAGUGCGUAAUAGCUCACUAGUCGAGUGACUCUGCGCCGAAUGUACCGGGGGUAAGCAUAUUACCGAAGCUAUGGAUGCAUCCAUCAGGAUGCGUGGUAGGAGAGCGUUCCAAGGGCGAUGAAGUCAGACCGUAAGGACUGGUGGAGCGCUUGGAAGUGAGAAUGCCGGUAUGAGUAGCGAAAGACAGGUGAGAAUCCUGUCCACCGAAUGACUAAGGUUUCCUGGGGAAGGCUCGUCCUCCCAGGGUUAGUCGGGACCUAAGUCGAGGCCGAGAGGCGUAGACGAUGGACAACAGGUUGAUAUUCCUGUACCAGUUGAUUGUGCUUGAGUGAUGGAGUGACGCAGAAGGCUAAGCGAUCCGGACGAUUGGAAGUGUCCGGCCAAGCAGCAAGUCAGUUGAUGAGUCAAAUGCUUAUCAGCGAGUUGACAAGCUGUGAUGGGGAGCGAAAUUAUAGUAGCGAAGUCGUUGAUGUCACGCUGCCGAGAAAAGCUUCUAGCGAAUAAUCAACUGCCCGUACCGCAAACCGACACAGGUAGUCGAGGAGAGUAUCCUAAGGUGAGCGAGCGAACUCUCGUUAAGGAACUCGGCAAAAUGACCCCGUAACUUCGGGAGAAGGGGUGCUGAUCGCAAGAUCAGCCGCAGUGAAAAGGCCCAGGCGACUGUUUAUCAAAAACACAGGUUUCUGCAAAAUCGUAAGAUGAAGUAUAGGGGCUGACGCCUGCCCGGUGCUGGAAGGUUAAAAGGAAGAGUUAGCUUCGGCGAAGCCCUGAAUUGAAGCCCCAGUAAACGGCGGCCGUAACUAUAACGGUCCUAAGGUAGCGAAAUUCCUUGUCGGGUAAGUUCCGACCCGCACGAAAGGCGUAACGAUCUGGGCACUGUCUCAACGAGAGACUCGGUGAAAUUGAAUUGCCUGUGAAGAUGCAGGCUACCCGCGACAGGACGGAAAGACCCCAUGGAGCUUUACUGUAGCUUGAUAUUGAGUGCUUGUACUGCUUGUACAGGAUAGGUAGGAGCCAUAGAAGCCAGGACGCUAGUUUUGGCAGAGGCGUUGGUGGGAUACUACCCUUGCAUUAUGAUCACUCUAACCCGCACCACUGAUCGUGGUGGGAGACAGUGUCAGGUGGGCAGUUUGACUGGGGCGGUCGCCUCCCAAAAGAUAACGGAGGCGCCCAAAGGUUCGCUCAGAAUGGUUGGAAAUCAUUCGCAGAGUGUAAAGGCACAAGCGAGCUUGACUGCGAGACAGACAGGUCGAGCAGGGACGAAAGUCGGGCUUAGUGAUCCGGUGGUUCCGCAUGGAAGGGCCAUCGCUCAACGGAUAAAAGCUACCCUGGGGAUAACAGGCUUAUCUCCCCCAAGAGUCCACAUCGACGGGGAGGUUUGGCACCUCGAUGUCGGCUCGUCGCAUCCUGGGGCUGAAGCAGGUCCCAAGGGUUUGGCUGUUCGCCAAUUAAAGCGGCACGCGAGCUGGGUUCAGAACGUCGUGAGACAGUUCGGUCCCUAUCCGUCGCGGGCGUAGGAAAUUUGAGAGGAGCUGUCCUUAGUACGAGAGGACCGGGAUGGACACACCGCUGGUGUACCAGUUGUUCUGCCAGGAGCAUAGCUGGGUAGCUACGUGUGGACGGGAUAAACGCUGAAAGCAUCUAAGCGUGAAGCCCCCCUCAAGAUGAGAUUUCCCAUUCGAAAGAAGUAAGAUCCCUUGAAGACGACGAGGUUGAUAGGUCAGGAGUGGAAGUGUGGUGACACAUGGAGCGGACUGAUACUAAUCGAUCGAGGACUUAACCAA
rnacentral:rRNA from 1 species